AACCGCACAGCGGCGUUGCGGGAGGCGAAGGGCGUCGACCGACCUCGCGCGCUGCACAUCUCGGGUUGAGGUUAAAGGAUAGGGCGACAUCUGGAAACCUUCCUCGAGUCCCCACACCCCUGCAAGCGGCGCCUCCCUCCCUGUCCCCGGACAUGUUCGCUCCAGCGCUGGGCGCACACUGUACUGAAUGAUCUCGCCCCAUCUGUCCCCUCCACCAGUCUGAGGUCAGCGCCUGGCGGGGUAAGGCGCUCAGGACAUUGGAGUGAGGUCAUCUGCUGCCCAUCCCCCUCUCCCCCAUGCACCGUCUGAGUUUGUUCCAGACAAUCGUGUGCUCUGAAGGGUACAUUAUUUCAGAUUCUCAAGGUUCUUGCGGUCGGGAAAUGCCUCCAUAUGUCUACCUCAAAUCUCUGCAGUGUGAACCCUCCAGGCCUGUCAUCAGUGGGGUGACCUUUAGGAGACUUGUGCUGAUGAUAUCCAACCUUACUCCUCUGAUACCUCCUGGGCUGGUUGGGAGGGUGCGAUGAGUUCAUACACGCCAGCGCUUAGAUCAGCGCUGGGGUCUGCCGAGCACGGUCAGUGACUAUUAGGGCCUUAUUAUCGGUUUUCACCUGGAGGAACUAUUCCUUGCCCCUCACUACCCCAUCUCUGGCAGGGCUCCUAAGGCAGGCUGGGGAUGCCAGUGCAGGGACUUUACCUUUCUGGCUGGGGAGGCAGGUGGAGCCUGCAGUCAAGGCUCAGCCUUGGGAGAAGAGACCUGGGGAGAAGCCCCAGGUGCAUUUGCCCGCUGAGGGCUGCCUGGGCUCCCCCGCCUCUAGCACAGCCGCGUCACAGCAUGGAGGCUCUCUGCGUGGGACCCUUCUGCUUCCCGGCAGACUGAGAACUCCUUGAGGGCAGGGACUCUGGCUGGCACAUGGCAGGUCUCCCAAUGAAUGAAGAAAUGUUCUAAGCCAUUUUUCUUGGCCUUCC
rnacentral:lncRNA from 10 species